AAGAUCAGUUUGGCAUCUUCUUUUAAAAAAUUGUGAACAAAUCUUUCCAUUUAAAGCCCUACCCUAUUCCACCCUUCUAUCCAGAAAUACAAUUCCUAAGCUUUUCUGAGGUUCUAAAAUAGAACUGCCUCUCUCUCUUUCCCCUCUUUCUCCCUUUCUUCCUGCCUACCUCCUUUUCUUUCUCCCUUAUCUUCUCACUCCUUGGCUUAACUUUAAUCAAUCCAGCUUUCAGUUUCCAAAAGUGUUUUGAUAUCAUCAUCUGUUUUUGUCUCCUUUUUCAUUUUUGCUUGUGUAGUACGAUUUAAAAAAUAUAUAAAUAUACUGUCAUUUAAAUGGUGUUUCAGAAAGGAGUAGAGAUAAACACAGGUUUAAUCCACUAUAUUUUAAAAACCUCAUUUUAUGAUAUGACCACCCAUUCAAGAAUAUGUCUCCAUUUAUUUAAGUCAAAUCUACUAAUUAAAUUUAAUGUUUGUCUUCAUAGAGAUUAAAUGCAGCUUUUAUUAAGUUACAUUCUAAAUAAUGCAGUUUUUCCUUGUUAUUUAGAAUGAACUCUCUUUUUCCUUUCUAUUUUCUACCUAGUUAUAACUUGGUGAUAUUACUUUAGUGUACUUAUAUCUGGAAAAUUUAUUAAACUCAUUGGUUCUAUAAUUUCUGCACUGGUUGUUUUAGAUUUCAUAGCAUAUAAUCAUUUUAUUCAAAUAAUAUUUUAUCUCUCUAUGUGUUUUAUUAAUCUAUUAUGUUUCUUUUUCUGUUUUUAUGUAUAAAAAUAUUCAAAAAUAUUUAAAAUAAUAUUGGUAAUAAUUAAUAUCCUUAUUUGACCCCUAAUUUGGAAGGAAUACUUUUAGUAGAGUUCUAAUGGAUAUAAUAUGGACUUCUGUUUUGAAAUGUCAUUAUUUUUAGAAUGUAUUUUAAGACAAACUAAAAAACUGAAAAAAACAUGUCCAAAGUUCACAGAAGCCAACUUUAAAGGGGCUCCAUCUGGACAUAUUUGGGACACUCAUGUCCCCAAUCAAAUAAAUAAUGAUAAAAAUGGGUUAUAACACACUGAUUUAAAAACAGUAAUCCAUAAGUCACAUCGAUACAUAAAUUAGAAAACAGAUGAUGGAAAGUGCUUUUUUAUAGAAGAAUGCCUGCUAAUAAAUGUAGAAAGUAUAUGAGGAAUGGAAAAUUACUUUUAUUUACAAUAAAUCAAUUCAGGCAAUAGUCACCAGUUGAUGCUAAAAUUAUUGGGUAAAAAAAUAAAAAUAGAAAUAUAAUUAUCUUCUUUAAUAAAAAUAAAAUUAUCUGGAUCAAUUCACAGAUAACUUAUUAAUAAGAAAGAUACUUACAAAAUGGAGAAAUCUGGCAGCUACCAUCUUAACUAUAUGAUUAAAUUUCACAACACCAGUAAAGGACAGUGUCGCAUCACGUGCCUCCUAAUAUGUUGUACUUCAGAAGAGGAAAAGGUGCCUCUUUUGUUAUAUUCCUGACAAUAAUGUGUAACCUAAGUAGAAUCCUCAGACAAAUUUGAAAUGAGAGGAAGAGUCUGAAAAGCAACUGACCUAGACUCUUCCAAAAUGUCAGUGAUGUGGAAAAACUAAACAAAAGUAGGGAAUUUCUCUAACUGAAAAGAGAAUGAUGAUUGUUUGGAUCCUAAUUUUAAAAAGAAAACAAUAAAACAGCAAAACCAACAGAAGGUUAGAGUGCCUUGGAGACAAAUGGCAAAAGAAAUACAGAUUGUAAAUUAUAUGCAGUAUCAGUGUAAAGUUUCCUGAACAUGAUAAUUAUAUCAUCGCAGUUAUGUAGAGUGUCACUGUUUGGUGAUACAUACUGAAGUACAUAUGGAUCAAGUGCCAUGGACUUUUACAAGUAACUCUCAAAUGGUUCAGCAAAAGCAGUGUAUGUAUGCUGGUGGCUGCAGCUCCGAUUUGAUCCCUAACCUGGGAAUCUCCAUUUGCCGAGGGAGCGGCUAAAGAAAUGGCAAAAAGACCAAAAAAAAAAAAAAAAACUAGGAAAACAGAUGUAACUGCAACAUCCAGAGAUAAUCAUUUCAGUGCUUAUCCUUCCAGAUCGUUCUCUUUAGGGACAUCUGUUUUUUAGGUGAGUUCAUAUGGUAUAUGCCCCUUUACUUGAAAUUUUUUUCAUUAACAAUAUAUUGUGGACAUCUUUCCAGAUUAUUUAAUUUUCUUCUAGACUAUUAUUUUAAGUAGCUGUACAAUAUUGUGUAUUUGUUCCAUGACUUAUUCAAAUAGCUUCUGUUACUGAUUUAAUUUUUUUAUUUUACUAGUGUUCUUAUUACAUUGAUGAAAUAAAAUCUUUGGUCACAAUUUCUUUUAAAUAAAAAAUAUAAUAGCUAGAUCAAAGAGGUUGAAAUUUUAAAAUUUUUAUACGUAUUGCUUAACUGCUUUUUUAAAAAGUACUCUAUCUUGAAAUAGCUUAAUAUAAUUUUUAGAGAAAACCAAUAAAGAAAGUGGCUGGUUUAAAUACUGAGAACUCUACAUAAUCUCUUAGCAAUCUAUAACAUUGUUGGUUGAUUUUAUGAAGGUGAGAAUAAAUUAGUUAUUUCCUGCUAUCAUUAGGAAUAACAUUAAAAAUUUCCGGUAUAAAUUAAAAGUGAGAAAGAGCAUAAGACAUUUUACCAAUAUUAUAAAAGCUAUGAGUUUAUAUAGGAAACAAUUUGAUGAAUGUAGUCUUUCCUUCUUUUUUCCCAAAAUAGAGAUGUUUUUAUUAAUAUUCUAAAUAAUAAAAAUAACAUGAGCUCAUGUUGCAAGUCUGUUUUGCAAGUGGCUUUUAUAAAAGUCUUGCUAAAGUCUUCCCAUAUUACUACACAGAUUUCCCUUACUCUGUAAUUCCCGAAUACUAUAUGGUAUGGUUAUAUCAUAUUUUAGUAAAUAAAUUCCUCAUUGGUAGUUAUUUAGAUUAUUUUUUACUCAGUUACAAAUAAUAAGUAUAUUUUUUGUCUUUUACAGACAUCCAUGUGCUUUAUUUAUUCCAUGAAAUAAAUAUAGCUGUAGCAGUAGAACUGUUAUUGAUAACAAUGUUUGAUAAAAUAUUUGAUAAAAUUGAUAUCAUUGUUAUUGAUAAAAUGAUAAAACUCUGAGUUCUGGAAUUAGAGCUUGAAUACUACCCUCCAUCACGGACAUGCUGUUUAACUUUGGCAAGCUAAUUGAUCUUACCAUUAAAAUGACAUGAAAUCUAAUGGUUGAGGAAUUCUGUAUCCUCUCCUAAUAAUGAAAUUCAUGUAAGGCAAUUACUUUGUACCUGUUGUACUUGGCACAUAGUAAGUGCUAAAAUAACCCUAUUGUUAACAUAAAUUUUUUCUUUAGUGAAUUUUCUGUUCAUUUCUUUUGGACAGUUUCCUUUUAUUUUAUUAAUUAAUUUUUGUAUCAAGAAUAUUUACUAGUGGAGUUCCUGUAGUGGCACAGCAGAAACAAAUCUGACUAGUACCCAUGAGGACACGGGUUUGAUCCCCGGCCUCCCCCAGUGGGUCAGGAAUCCAGCGUUGCCCUGAGCUGUGGUGUACAUUGCUGAUGGGACUUGAAUCCCGAGUUGCUGUGGUGGCGGUGUAGGCCAGCAGCUGUAGCUCUGAUUCGACCCCUAGCCUGGGAACUUCCAUGUGCCACAAAUGCAGCCUUUAAAAGAAAAAAAUCAAUAGUCCCUACUAUAAAUUAAAAAUAUUUUUUCUCAAUUUAUCAUGUCUAUAUUCUAGUUUAGUCAGAUAUGUUAGUCUUUUAUGAUUUCUGGUCUUAGUGUCAUGCUUAGAAAGGAAAUCUCUACUGCAAGAUUUUGUUAAUCCUGUAUUUUCAUCUAGAGAUCUUAGUUUUAUUUUCUAUGUUUAAAUAUUUUCCUCUUUUGUGUGUGGCUAGUACUGCUUCUCCUCCAUUCUCUCCUCUAUUCCCCCAAGGGACAUAUUGGAAAUGUUAGAGUCCUUUUUAAGUUAUCACCACAAUUGAGAAAGCACUACUGGUAUUCACUGGUCAGGAGCCAGGAAUGUCUGCCAGACUCCUUCUGUGCACAGAACUUCUCUCAGUAAAGAAUUUCCGCAUACUCUCAAUCUUACCUUUGCUUUCUGCCAACAACAAACAUCUGAAAACUAAGCAUCUAAGAAUUAAAAAUAAAAAUAACUGGAUUUAAUUCAUUGCUUUGCAGAUUAACUGAGUUUAAAAAUAGUAACACCUGAAUUACAGAGAAAACCUGAAUUUCAUGUACCGGGGGAGUGUUUAGAUUAGUACAACCAUUUUUCGUUGUCUUAUUGUUAAUUGCUCCUUUUCCAUGGUAGUAUAUUCUUGUUUAUUGCCACAAUACCCCUCAAAUAUAACGGAAAACAAAACUAGAAAAUUUCAGUUACCUCUCCUGUUUCUUGCGUUAUUUCUCCUCAUUGAGUACCAUUUGCACAGCUUGUUCACCUUACUCUCCUUUUUGAGCUGCUGAUUUUCUUUUUAUAGCUAGUGAUUUUUAUUUGUAUAGAUAGAUCUUCAUUAGUAGAAUUGAUGUCUCUUUUAGGUUUCUUCAGCAGAUUGGUAAGUCUGGUUGAAGGGAUUCCUCAGCAGAACUUGGCUGGGGAACUGAACUUUUAUGACUUAAUAUGAUCAAUUUGUAAAAUAGAAGUUCAGUCCUUUUCCAUACAUCACAAUGGUCAAAAAGUCAUUCCUUCUUAUUUUAUACUUUUUUUAUAAUAUAUGUAAGAUAAAGUAGUUUGAGUUCAUAGCCUUCUGAUGGUAAAAGUUUAAGAAUACUACUUAAAAGAGUUGAAAAAGAUAUAGCUUACAAAUAAUUUUCCAUAAACAUCAUUUCUCUUAGUGGGUUUCUUUAAAGGUAAUUACCCACAAGAG
rnacentral:lncRNA from 1 species